rnacentral:rRNA from 1 species
UGAGGAAUCUUGCGCAAUGGAGGAAACUCUGACGCAGCCACGCCGCGUGCAGGAAGACACCCCUCAGGGGCGUAAACUGCUUUUAUACGAGAAGAACACCCUGCUCGGCAGGGUCUGACGGUAUCGUAUGAAUAAGGACCGGCUAACUCCGUGCCAGCAGCCGCGGUAAUACGGAGGGUCCAAGCGUUGUCCGGAAUCACUGGGUGUAAAGGGUGUGUAGGCGGGCCUGCAAGUCAGAGGUGAAAGCCCCCGGCCUAACCGGGGAAUUGCCUUUGAGACUGUAGGUCUUGAGUCCUGGAGGGGUCACUAGAAUUCGUGGUGUAGCGGUGAAAUGCGUAGAUAUCACGAGGAAUACCAGAGGCGAAGGCGGGUGACUGGACAGGUACUGACGCUGAGGCACGAAAGCGUGGGGAGCAAACAGG